UACAGAGGGUGCGAGCGUUAAUCGGAAUUACUGGGCGUAAAGCGCACGUAGGCGGCUUGGUAUGUCGGGUGUGAAAUCCCCGGGCUCAACCUGGGAACUGCAUCCGAAACUGCCUUGCUAGAGUAUGGGAGAGGGAAGUGGAAUUUCCGGUGUAGCGGUGAAAUGCGUAGAUAUCAGAAGGAACAUCAGUGGCGAAGGCGACUUCCUGGACCAAUACUGACGCUCAGGUGCGAAAGCGUGGGGAGCAAACAGG
rnacentral:rRNA from 1 species